UUCUAAGAAAAAAAAUCUUAUCAAGGCUCCAAAGACCACAAACGUGAACCUCCCCAUAGGCAGGAUCUGUGCAACAUGCUGAUCACUGUGAAGGGGUUGUCUCACACUGUGACAGCCAGGGGCCUCAGCAUCAGGAGGGACAUAAGACUGCUGACACCUUUACCAGUGCUACUAUUCCUUAUGCAAUAAACCAGUCAACAAGCCUUGAGAACCCAUGCAUUCAUCCCAAAUGAACCAGCACCUCCUCGCUGCAAAACAGCAACCUGCCUUUGGCUAGGGUUCUGACACCAGAUGGACCUAUAGUGAACUCUGUAUUCUCCGGUCCAGGCAAAGCUACAUUCGUUGGUCCUGACUACACUACAUCCACUGAAUCCACAGUACUGACCUGGGCUUUGAGAAGGAUAUCACUCAGUUAGGAAGUGAUUUCAGAAAGCAAGAAUGAUGACAAACCUGACAAAAUAAGAGAACAAAGAUGAUAGGCAGCAACUUUACUGAAGGUGUAAGGAUGCUGGAGGGAGCAACAUUCCAAGGCAAUCCAUUGCUUUUUCUAGAAUUACUGCUGGUUUCUGCAGGAUCUGUCCAAAAAAGUAACUAAAGCUCCUGUCAUAAUCAAUCAAGAGGAGGAGCCCAAGGACAAUUAAGAGGAGCCCAAGCGAUGCAGAGGUGUCUCAGUAGCU